rnacentral:lncRNA from 10 species
UAAUAUUGGAAAUCUAGAAUAGUACUCAGUUGAGGAGAACCUUGAAGGUCAAACUAAGCCACUAGAUUAUUUUUACUUCCUUGGGGAACACAAAAAGUUUUGUUUACUCUUUCCAACUCUCCGGGAAAUGGCCUGUGUAAAGAAUGCUUAAGAAGUUUGAUCUGAAAAUACAUCUAGAAUAGUCCUAACUGGGCUGUUCUCAGGUACCUUACUUGGAGAUUCCAUAUGAUUUCAAAAGCAUUUCAAUGAUGAAAAGUCUAAAAGAACACAUCCCAAAGAAUAGGCAUGUUAGGAAAUGACUCAGAAUAUCCUACAACUGAUACUGAGAAAGAUGUAGAUCACAGGCUAGGCAAAAUUUUCUGAGGGGUGUGUGGGCAACUAUUAUGUUUUGUUUUGUUUAUUGUAUGUGUGUGUGUGUAUGUGUGUGUCUAUAUAGUUAUUGGAGCACAAGCAAGGGCAUACAUACUCUGGGGGAAAAAAAUCUUCCAAACUCCUUUUACAAGGCCAGCAGUACCCUCUUGCCAUAACUAGGUAAGGAUACUACAAGAAAAUAAAAUUAUAGACCAAUAGGCCUGAUUAAUGUAAAUGCAAAAACUCAAAAAAAAAAUCAAAUUCGGCUUCACUUUAAAAGGAUUAUGCAUCAUGAACAAGUGAAAUUUAUCCCUUGGAUGCAAGGAUGUUCAACAUGUGCAAAUCAAAAAAUGUGAUACACCAUGUUAACAGAAUGAAAAAUAAAAAACAAAUGAUAAUCUUAACGCAGAAAAAGUAUUUGGUAACAUUUAAUGUCUUUUCAUAACAAAAAAUUUCAACAAAUUAUGUACAUAAACAAUGUACCUCAACAUAGUAAGUGCCAUAUACUACAUAUAAUAAGCCUGUAACCAAUGUCAUAUUCAAUGUUAGAAAUCUGAAAGCUUUUCGUCUAUGAUGAGAAACAAGAUUAAGAUGCUCACACUUUCUACUUCUGUUCAAUAGAGUACUGGAAGUCCUACCCAGUCUAACUAGGCAAGAAGAAGAAAUAAAAGUCUUCUGAAUCAGAUAAGAAGUAAAAUUGACUCUGUUUGCAGGUGACAUGAUCUUAUUUAUAGAGAACCAUAAAGACUAUUGGAAAAAACUCUCAAAGAGUUCUUAUGAUGAUUAAGUUAGUACACACUGAAUGAGUUAAUUUUUGGAAGAAUGCCUGGCACAUGAUAAGCU